UACAGAGGGGGCAAGCGUUGUUCGGAAUUACUGGGCGUAAAGGGCGCGUAGGCGGCCUUCUAAGUCGAACGUGAAAUCCCCGGGCUCAACCCGGGAACUGCGUCCGAGACUGGAAGGCUCGAAUCCGGGAGAGGGAUGUGGAAUUCCAGGUGUAGCGGUGAAAUGCGCAGAUAUCAGGAGGAACACCGGUGGCGAAGGCGGAUCUCUGGGCCAGUACUGACACUGAGGAGCGAAAGCGUGGGUAGCAAACAGG
rnacentral:rRNA from 1 species